rnacentral:snoRNA from 1 species
CUGGAGGACUAAGAAAGUGGAGCCAGUGCAUUAUACUGGCUCCACUGAUACUAUCCUCCUAGAUUGAAUGGUGGAAGAACAAGGCCUGUCUGUGAGGUAAAGGCAGGACCUACUUCCUCUACCGACAGGG